CUUGCCUUGGUUCAGUAUAGUACAUAGAAAAAAUGGUAAUGCUGCUAUUUGAUUGUGCUGUGUAUAUGCAAUUUUGCUGCUUGCUUUAAAUUAUUUAGAAGCCAUACCUGAACAAUCAUUUAGAAUUUCAGUUUAGUAAAUAAUUGCAGUGUCCAGCUAAUCGACUUGGUGAUGCUAAUGCCACUUUGUGCCACUAGUGAUAUAAAUUUUACAAACUAGCCGUGCUUAACUGCAGUGCACGUAGUUCAUAUUUAAAGGUCAAUGGUGUUGGCUUUGCAUCUGUUAACCGGCAGCA
rnacentral:lncRNA from 1 species